rnacentral:tRNA from 1 species
GCCAGGUUGCCCGAGCGGCCAAAGGGAGCGGACUGUAAAUCCGUCGGCGUUGCCUACCAAGGUUCGAAUCCUUGACCUGGCA